GGAAAUGUGGCUUAGUGGUAGAGUGCUUGCCUAGAAUGCAUGGAACCUGGGUUUGAUUCCUCAAUACCA
rnacentral:tRNA from 1 species